UUAUGAUUAAUGUCUGCUUGCCUUGCAUUUGAGCUGGGUUGGUGGCUGUUAGUUGUAUGUUCUCGAGGAUGUUUACCGUAAAGGUGCAUGAGUGGUGUUUGGUUUGUUACGGGUGGUUGGCUCUUUGCUUGCGCAACAACUUCCACCUGGCUUACCUCUUCAGUUUUGUGUCGACGCUUGAAUAGCGUUAACACACCGUGGGUUUCAUGUGUUGUAUGCCUAAUCGAUGGUAUCGUUUGACGAACAUACGUUACUUUCGUCUUGGGUCACACUUGUGAUUCGAGAUGAACCUUAAAGCAGCCUAGAUGAUCCACUCUUUCGAUUGCACACGCGUUGAUUUUGUGGCUCACCUAGUGUUGUUUGGACUCAUCGAUAUGGAACCUUUGUUGGGCAUGGACCUUUUAGUAGAUCCUGGUUUGCCCUAGUUAAGCUUUUCAAAAACGAUUUCCUAUCACGUGUAAACGCGGUAGGGUUUAUCGAAUAUGAAUG
rnacentral:misc_RNA from 1 species